UUAAGCGACUAAGCGUACACGGUGGAUGCCCUGGCAGUCAGAGGCGAUGAAGGACGUGCUAAUCUGCGAUAAGCGUCGGUAAGGUGAUAUGAACCGUUAUAACCGGCGAUUUCCGAAUGGGGAAACCCAGUGUGAUUCGUCACACUAUCAUUAACUGAAUCCAUAGGUUAAUGAGGCGAACCGGGGGAACUGAAACAUCUAAGUACCCCGAGGAAAAGAAAUCAACCGAGAUUCCCCCAGUAGCGGCGAGCGAACGGGGAGCAGCCCAGAGCCUGAAUCAGUGUGUGUGUUAGUGGAAGCGUCUGGAAAGGCGCGCGAUACAGGGUGACAGCCCCGUACACAAAAAUGCACAUGCUGUGAGCUCGAUGAGUAGGGCGGGACACGUGGUAUCCUGUCUGAAUAUGGGGGGACCAUCCUCCAAGGCUAAAUACUCCUGACUGACCGAUAGUGAACCAGUACCGUGAGGGAAAGGCGAAAAGAACCCCGGCGAGGGGAGUGAAAAAGAACCUGAAACCGUGUACGUACAAGCAGUGGGAGCACGCUUAGGCGUGUGACUGCGUACCUUUUGUAUAAUGGGUCAGCGACUUAUAUUCUGUAGCAAGGUUAACCGAAUAGGGGAGCCGAAGGGAAACCGAGUCUUAACUGGGCGUUAAGUUGCAGGGUAUAGACCCGAAACCCGGUGAUCUAGCCAUGGGCAGGUUGAAGGUUGGGUAACACUAACUGGAGGACCGAACCGACUAAUGUUGAAAAAUUAGCGGAUGACUUGUGGCUGGGGGUGAAAGGCCAAUCAAACCGGGAGAUAGCUGGUUCUCCCCGAAAGCUAUUUAGGUAGCGCCUCGUGAAUUCAUCUCCGGGGGUAGAGCACUGUUUCGGCAAGGGGGUCAUCCCGACUUACCAACCCGAUGCAAACUGCGAAUACCGGAGAAUGUUAUCACGGGAGACACACGGCGGGUGCUAACGUCCGUCGUGAAGAGGGAAACAACCCAGACCGCCAGCUAAGGUCCCAAAGUCAUGGUUAAGUGGGAAACGAUGUGGGAAGGCCCAGACAGCCAGGAUGUUGGCUUAGAAGCAGCCAUCAUUUAAAGAAAGCGUAAUAGCUCACUGGUCGAGUCGGCCUGCGCGGAAGAUGUAACGGGGCUAAACCAUGCACCGAAGCUGCGGCAGCGACGCUUAUGCGUUGUUGGGUAGGGGAGCGUUCUGUAAGCCUGUGAAGGUGUACUGUGAGGUAUGCUGGAGGUAUCAGAAGUGCGAAUGCUGACAUAAGUAACGAUAAAGCGGGUGAAAAGCCCGCUCGCCGGAAGACCAAGGGUUCCUGUCCAACGUUAAUCGGGGCAGGGUGAGUCGACCCCUAAGGCGAGGCCGAAAGGCGUAGUCGAUGGGAAACAGGUUAAUAUUCCUGUACUUGGUGUUACUGCGAAGGGGGGACGGAGAAGGCUAUGUUGGCCGGGCGACGGUUGUCCCGGUUUAAGCGUGUAGGCUGGUUUUCCAGGCAAAUCCGGAAAAUCAAGGCUGAGGCGUGAUGACGAGGCACUACGGUGCUGAAGCAACAAAUGCCCUGCUUCCAGGAAAAGCCUCUAAGCAUCAGGUAACAUCAAAUCGUACCCCAAACCGACACAGGUGGUCAGGUAGAGAAUACCAAGGCGCUUGAGAGAACUCGGGUGAAGGAACUAGGCAAAAUGGUGCCGUAACUUCGGGAGAAGGCACGCUGAUAUGUAGGUGAAGUCCCUCGCGGAUGGAGCUGAAAUCAGUCGAAGAUACCAGCUGGCUGCAACUGUUUAUUAAAAACACAGCACUGUGCAAACACGAAAGUGGACGUAUACGGUGUGACGCCUGCCCGGUGCCGGAAGGUUAAUUGAUGGGGUCAGCGCAAGCGAAGCUCUUGAUCGAAGCCCCGGUAAACGGCGGCCGUAACUAUAACGGUCCUAAGGUAGCGAAAUUCCUUGUCGGGUAAGUUCCGACCUGCACGAAUGGCGUAAUGAUGGCCAGGCUGUCUCCACCCGAGACUCAGUGAAAUUGAACUCGCUGUGAAGAUGCAGUGUACCCGCGGCAAGACGGAAAGACCCCGUGAACCUUUACUAUAGCUUGACACUGAACAUUGAGCCUUGAUGUGUAGGAUAGGUGGGAGGCUUGGAAGUGUGGACGCCAGUCUGCAUGGAGCCGACCUUGAAAUACCACCCUUUAAUGUUUGAUGUUCUAACGUUGACCCGUAAUCCGGGUUGCGGACAGUGUCUGGUGGGUAGUUUGACUGGGGCGGUCUCCUCCUAAAGAGUAACGGAGGAGCACGAAGGUUGGCUAAUCCUGGUCGGACAUCAGGAGGUUAGUGCAAUGGCAUAAGCCAGCUUGACUGCGAGCGUGACGGCGCGAGCAGGUGCGAAAGCAGGUCAUAGUGAUCCGGUGGUUCUGAAUGGAAGGGCCAUCGCUCAACGGAUAAAAGGUACUCCGGGGAUAACAGGCUGAUACCGCCCAAGAGUUCAUAUCGACGGCGGUGUUUGGCACCUCGAUGUCGGCUCAUCACAUCCUGGGGCUGAAGUAGGUCCCAAGGGUAUGGCUGUUCGCCAUUUAAAGUGGUACGCGAGCUGGGUUUAGAACGUCGUGAGACAGUUCGGUCCCUAUCUGCCGUGGGCGCUGGAGAACUGAGGGGGGCUGCUCCUAGUACGAGAGGACCGGAGUGGACGCAUCACUGGUGUUCGGGUUGUCAUGCCAAUGGCACUGCCCGGUAGCUAAAUGCGGAAGAGAUAAGUGCUGAAAGCAUCUAAGCACGAAACUUGCCCCGAGAUGAGUUCUCCCUGACUCCUUGAGAGUCCUGAAGGAACGUUGAAGACGACGACGUUGAUAGGCCGGAUGUGUAAGCGCAGCGAUGCGUUGAGCUAACCGGUACUAAUGAACCGUGAGGCUUAACCUU
rnacentral:rRNA from 1 species